GACAGCAGCCAUAUCACCCUGCAACUCACAACUGGCAGCUCAGCAGAUGUGAGCCUGGCAAAUACCUGGAUGGGAGACCUCCUGGGAAAAACUAUGGUUGCUGCUGGAA
rnacentral:rRNA from 1 species